UACAGAGGUCCCAAGCGUUGUUCGGAUUCAUUGGGCGUAAAGGGUGCGUAGGCUGCGCCAUAAGUCGGAUGUGAAAUCUCGGGGCUCAACCCUGAAACUGCAUUCGAUACUGUGGUGCUAGAGGACUCUAGAGGAAACUGGAAUUCACGGUGUAGCAGUGAAAUGCGUAGAUAUCGUGAGGAAGACCAGUGGCGAAGGCGGGUUUCUGGAGAGUUCCUGACGCUGAGGCACGAAGGCCGGGGGAGCAAACGGG
rnacentral:rRNA from 1 species